UCAUUUUUGAUCAAUAUUAUUUACCAUUGGCUCAGGUACAUGUCAAAACAAAUGCUUUGUAUUUCAUUGGUUUAACAGCCUCAUUUCACUGCUUACAGCGCUACCACUGGCCAAUCGGAGAAGGUCCGCCCUCUAAAUGCUAGUCUGUGAUUGGGUGGUUGAAUUUCGCCCGCCCUCUCUGUUUUGUAAACACCGCUACCUGAGUCAAUCACUCAGCUCUCAUGAUCAGGAACGCGGUGAAAAUGCCAAAAAGUAAACUUUUGAGGCAGCGAUGAACGGACCUAAAUAUGAAAAGACACAACAUUUAUCUCUGAUCUCCAAGACUUCAGCUCCGGUUUUGGCUCCACAUCGAACAGGCUGAAUGGGGCAUGAGGGCAGUGAAAACAGGCUUCCAAGACCUUGCCCGUUCACAAAAGACCACGACCCAUCCAGAAAGUACAAACCAGUCCAGCCAGUGGGCAUUGUAGCAUUCCUGCUCCUGUUAUUGGCCACAAACAGAUCGCUCUCUGUGUUCAGGCUUAUCAGAUCAAUGUAGUGUGUUCUGCAGUGCUCCAGUGCUUCUCUCCAGGUCUUCAUCUCCAGCACCAGAACCAGUGUAGGCCUCCAUGUGUAGCAGAAGAAGGUCAAAAGUGCUGAACAGUCAUAGUUGUACCAAAGAGAGUUAUAUAGAAUUACACAGGGAUGAGUGAGCAAAUUGUAUGGUUGAGAUGCUGACCAUCGUGUGAAACUGAGUGCAGUUCCAUCAGACCACUGACUGUAGACUGUCUCAGAUGGACUCUUGCUGAGCCCAAUCCAAUGACCAUAAUUACUGUGUGGAGAAUAUCCAUUAUUCACCAAGUUGUUAAAUUUCUCCUGUGAUUCAAAAGUCGCCAGAUCAAAAUAAUUGUUUCUGCAGUAUGCUCGAGCAUCACUCCAGGACAAACCUAGGUUAAUAUAGAUGUAAUCUUUCCAGACAAAACCAGUAGCUGCUCCUGUUAGAGCUGCCAGGAGGAAGAACGAGACAACUAUAACUAUUUAUCUUGACAUGAAUGGAACCAAAGUGUAAAACGUUAUGAUGUUAAAAUCCUAAUAAUUAAAUUAAUUAAUACUGACAUUA